rnacentral:rRNA from 1 species
GAGGAGCCAAGCGUUGUCCGGAUUGACUGGGCGUAAAGCGCACGCAGGUGGUCGUGCAAGUGUCGUGUGAAAGCAGCUCGCUUAACGAGCUGAGGCCAUGGCAGACUGCGCGACUAGAGGUCGUGAGAGGUCCGUGGAAUUGCCGGUGUAGUGGUGACAUGCGUAGAUAUCGGCAGGAACACCCAAGGGGAAGCCAGCGGACUGGCACGGUACUGACACUGAGGUGCGAGAGCGUGGGGAGCGAACCGGAUUAGAUACCCGGGUAGUCCACGCCGUAAACGAUGGACACUCACCCUAUGCCGGUGUAAGAGCCGCUGUGGGGUCAAGCUAACGCGAUAAGUGUCCCGCCUGGGAACUACGAGCGCAAGCUUA